rnacentral:rRNA from 1 species
UUGACUGAGCGGCGGACGGGUGAGUAACGCGUGGGUAACCUGCCUCAUACAGGGGGAUAACAGUUAGAAAUGACUGCUAAUACCGCAUAAGACCACAGGGCCGCAUGGCCCGGUGGUAAAAACUCCGGUGGUAUGAGAUGGACCCGCGUCUGAUUAGCUGGUUGGUGGGGUAACGGCCUACCAAGGCAACGAUCAGUAGCCGACCUGAGAGGGUGACCGGCCACAUUGGGACUGAGACACGGCCCAAACUCCUACGGGAGGCAGCAG